ACCAUGGUAGUAGACUCUCAGAGUGUUUUAAUAUACUAAACUAGUCUUAGCCAGGUUGGAAUCUGAGUCUCCGGACCUCCAUUUAGUCUAAAUAAGAGAGGUUGACCUCGGAUCAGGUAGGGAUACCCGCUGAACUUAAGCAUAUCAAUA
rnacentral:rRNA from 1 species